rnacentral:lncRNA from 1 species
AAUCCCUUACCUCAACUUAUUUUUGCCCUCACCAUUUUCACAGGAACUUUUAUCACAAUGCUAGGCUCACACUGAUUUCUCAUCUGAACAGGGCUAGAAAUAAACAUACUAGCCCUUACCCCAAUCUUAAUUAAAAAAAUAAAUCCCCGCUCUACAGAAGCAGCCACCAAAUAUUUCCUUACACAAGCAACCACAUCUAUAAUUCUCAUAACAGAUAUCCUUCCCAAUAACCUGUUCUCCGGACAAUGAACAAUAAUACACUAUCAAUCAAUUUUUAUCCUUAAUAAUAAUAGUGGCCCUAGUAAUAAAACUAGGAAUAGCCCCCUUUCACUUCUGAGUCUCAGAGGUAAUUCAGGGAAUCUCUUUGAUGUCUGGUAUACUUCUCCUCACAUGACAAAAACUAGCUCCUAUCUCAACUGUGUUUCAAACUUUUCAUCAACAAACACGAACAUCCUCCUGUCACAAUCCUAUCCAUUAUAGUGGGUGGUUGAGGGGGACUUAAUCAAACAACUGUGUAAAAUCCUAGCCUACUCCUCAGUCACUCACAUAGGUUGAACAACAGCAGUACUAAUUUAUAAUCCAAACAUUACCACCCUAAACCUGAUUAUUUACUUUAUCCUAACAACAACCGCAUUUCUAGCACUCAGCCAGAGUAUAAGCACCAGAACCCUAUCACUAUCUCACACCUGAAACAAAUGAGCAUGGUUGACACCUGUAAUUCCACUAAUUCUACUAUCCUUAGGAGGUUUAUCCCCAUUAACAGGGUUCCUUUCUAAAUGAAUCAUCAUUCAAGAAUUUACAAAAAACAAUAGCCUUAUUAACCCAAUCAUUAUAGCUAUCAUAACCUACUCAACCUGUACUUUUAUAUAUGCCUAGUCUAUUCCUUAUCAGUAACACUAUUCCCCACAUCUAGCAAUAUGAAAAUAAAAUGACAAUUUGAAAACACAAAACCCACACUACUCUUCCCCCCACUUGUCAUCUCUUCUACCCUCCUCUUACCCAUCUCUCCAUUAAUACUAACUAUAACUUAG